CCUACGGGUGGCUGCAGUCGAGAAUCUUCGUCAAUGGGCGAAAGCCUGAACGAGCGACGCCGCGUGCGGGAUGAAGGCCUUUGGGUUGUAAACCGCUGUCGAGGGGGAUGAAGGCUCAGUCGUUAUCGGCUGAGUUUGACAGAGCCCUGGAGGAAGCACGGGCUAAGUUCGUGCCAGCAGCCGCGGUAAUACGAACUGUGCGAACGUUAUUCGGAAUCACUGGGCUUACAGGGUGCGUAGGCGGCUAUUCAGGUCAGGUGUGAAAGCCCCCGGCUCAACCGGGGAACUGCGCUUGAAACCGAAUGGCUCGAGUCAGCUAGAGGUACACGGAACUUCCAGUGGAGCGGUGAAAUGUGUUGAUAUUGGAAGGAACACCGGAGGCGAAAGCGGUGUACUGGGGCUGGUCUGACGCUGAGGCACGAAAGCCAGGGGAGCGAACG
rnacentral:rRNA from 1 species